rnacentral:rRNA from 1 species
GACGAACGCUGGCGGCGUGCUUAACACAUGCAAGUCGAACGGAAAGGCCCUGCUUUCGUGGGGUGCUCGAGUGGCGAACGGGUGAGUAACACGUGAGUAACCUGCCCUUGACUUUGGGAUAACUUCAGGAAACUGGGGCUAAUACCGGAUAGGAGCUCCUGCUGCAUGGUGGGGGUUGGAAAGUUUCGGCGGUUGGGGAUGGACUCGCGGCUUAUCAGCUUGUUGGUGGGGGAGUGGCAUACCAAGGCUUUGACGGGUAGCCGGCCUGGGAGGGUGACCGGCCACAUUGGGACUGAGAUACGGCCCAGACUCCUACGGGAGGCAGCAGUGGGGAAUAUUGCACAAUGGGCGGAAGCCUGAUGCAGCAGCGCCGCGUGCGGGAUGACGGCCUUCGGGUUGUGAACCGCUUUCGCCUGUGACGAAGCGUGAGUGACGGUAAUGGGUAAAGAAGCACCGGCUAACUACGUG